GGGGAGGAUGGGGGCCGAGAUGGGGGGGGGGCCGGCAGGAGUGGGGGGACGCAAUUCCCGAGGCGCUUUGAGGCCAGGGCCAGGCCUACUGCUGCCUCUUUCCACUCCGCCCUCGCUCCCAGGGGAGUGAGUAGAAGAAUAAGGGCUGCCUGCUCCCCUCCCUUUGCGUGGGGGUCGCGCACGUGGCAGGCUGCCGGGAGACAAUAGCGACCUGACACCGGCUCGCCUGAGAGCUUGAUUCCCGAGCUCCUGCAAACGCGGGGGCUCCGGCACACUCCCUCUCUCGCAUCCUUCAGCACAGGGGCCACGUGGCCAGGCAGCCAGAAGCCAGUGGCAGAUGGCGCUUUCUUUGCAGUCGCUGCUUUAUGCCAAGGAAGAGGGGAUUUUGUAUGUGACCCACAUACUGAAUCAUCCAAGUGAGUGGCAAGACAAAAGUCAGAAUGACCCAGGAUGCAGUGGUAAUCUUUGCAUGCUUGGGGAAGACUUUGCCCUAAGACACCAUCUAGAAGAUCAUUAG
ensembl:lncRNA